UCUUAUCCAGAGCGGCGGAGGGACAGGCCCUACGAUGCCCGGCAACCACGGAUUAUUCCGGAUGGUGCUAAUUCCUGCAGACAUUAGUCUGAGAGAUGAGA
rnacentral:ncRNA from 1 species